AGAGAUGCGGGAGUGCCUUCGGGAAUUAGAAUACAGGUGCUGCAUGGCUGUCGUCAGCUCGUGUCGUGAGAUGUUGGGUUAAGUCCCGCAACGAGCGCAACCCUUGUCCUUAGUUACCAGCGGGUUAAGCCGGGAACUCUAAGGAUACUGCCAGUGACAAACUGGAGGAAGGUGGGGAUGACGUCAAGUCAGGUGGCGAGACGCACAGGAGGUAGUG
rnacentral:rRNA from 1 species